GAAUGUAACGGUCGUGUUCCCCUGACCUUGUGUGAACCUGUGAGGAAAAUACUUCGACGAUAACAUGAUAUAGUAUAAGCAAUAACUAAAUGAGACAAACACUUUUUACGUGGAAAACCUCCUCGAUGUGAGAAGAAAAACCACGGGACCGUAGUCCACUCAACAAUCCACUAUAUAAAUGUAUGUGAGUACAACCACGUUCUCCCUGUUCAACAACCUGAACAGAACAGAGACUCAAGCUACAAAGAGCUACCUCCAACACAAGAACA
rnacentral:lncRNA from 1 species